CACCGCCGCGCCCGGGGCUGCCGCAGCUGCCCGCGGCCCCGCCUGCUGCCGCCGCCGCCGAGGCGUGCGGAGAGGCCGGCAGGAGGCGGCCCGGCUAGGCCGGCGCGGCCCCGGGAGCUGCGGGCGGGGAAAAGGGGGCCUCGUGGCGGCAGGACCCGCCCGGUGCGCCGGGCAAGAUGGCAGCGUCCAGCCGGGCCCAGGUGCUGCGGCUGUACCGGGCCCUGCUGCGGGAGAGCCAGCGCUUCGGCGGCUACAACUACAGAAUGUAUGCCAUCAGGAGGAUAAGAGAUGCCUUCAGAGAAAACAAGAAUAUAAAGGAUUCUGAAAAAAUAGAAGAACUAGUGAAUAAAGCCAAAGCAAACCUUGAGGUUAUUCAUCGGCAGGCUACAUGACAUUCUUCGUUGUCAAAACACUGACUCUUUGUUGUCCUAUGACAUCCCAAUAUUUAGCAUACUAGCGAGACUGAAUUCUUGUAGAACAAAUUAAGGCAAGUCAGGUUACCAUUGGGCAACUGUAUUCCACGCAGAAAUUGGUUAUUGAGAGUCCAGGAAACACAUAGUUAUGAGAAAACUCUGAUCCUGAAGCAACACUGGACCAUCUUCAGCAUCCUACAGUGCCACAUACAGAUGCAUAAACUCACUGCACAUGUCUGAGCUUUUCUGUUCAGCAGAUGAAAAGCCUGGGAGACUCAGUUUUUUGGCAACCAAAGUACUAUUUUCUAAUGGUUCACAUGUUCUAAAAUAUAUUGCUGUGAUUUAUAAUAUCAUGUCAGGUAGUCUUGAAAUCUGUUUGCUUGAAUGUCCCAUGUGAUUAAAUAGUUCCUGCCCUACUCUAUAAUACAAUAAAAUUUCAUUAAACUACCUGUAAACAAAUACAUUAUUCUGCUCCUGACCUCUUCUCUGAGCAUAAAGGAUGUGUUAGAUUUGAAACCCCUCACCCAGUUACUAAGGCUAAGUUAUUUUUGGUUAUGUUUAAUUUUAAAAUAUACAACAUCUGAAUUAAAUUACUAAAUACCUAGUUAAUUUUUAAUAUUAAGCCCAGAGAUGAACCAAGUUUUUGUCUCCUGGACCCUGAUACUUAAAAAUUUCACAAGCUGCACUGUGUCAUUUCUUUAAAGAGCAUCCCUUGACAUUUCAGGAGGUGACAUAAAAAUUUCACCAAUUCUUUCUUUAGUUUCCAAGAGUUAAUGUCCAGUCUCAUCCUCCUUUUAACAAUUAACAGAACAGAGUAGCAGACUGGAAGACUUGCAUCACUCAGGUUUGGGAGCUUUAAAAUAUAUUUUGACCACCAAUUCCCUUUCCAAAUUUAUUGAGGUGCAGGUAUUAGCAGAAAGCACCACAUCAGUUUAUGCAGGGUUUCCCUUUUUCACAAAGUUCAUUAAUUUUGCAGGAGAUAAAGAACCUUAUGGUGACAAUAAUGCAAGUGCAGUAAGUCAUAAUUUGGCAGCAAGCUUUGCCUAACAAAGUGGAACACUCAGUAUAGCUCUUAAUUGCUUACUAUUAAAUCUGUAGAAUGACCAACACUUUUAAAUCAAUGUUUAAAAACAAACAAAAUGUUUGAUUGUGUGCUGUUCAAGUCAUUGCUGUGCUUGGGUUUGUUUUCUGAUGCAGAAAAAUUAAGCAGCGAGAAGCUUUUUUAAUGGCAUACAGAAAAAGCUUCCUUUAUUUUUUUUCAUGGGAUUGUUGUGGGGUUUUUUAAGAAGAGAAACAAAUUCAAAACUAGUUCCAUGACACUGUGGCUUUAACCCCCCUGUAUUUUUUUUUUGCUUUCCAAAAUUCAUCUUUGUUAAGAAGGUCUAUUGUUUUGUGUUGUCUGUGCUGUGUAAUAACAUUAUUAAAGUAGAGGAUAGACAAAGUGUCUAAUUUAGAACAAACCCCCAUUCCUCGCUACCAUUUAAAGUGUAUUUUAUAAUUUUGUACAGUUAGAUUGAAAUGUGUAGCAAUGCAUUCUAUUAACAAUAUAGUGUACAGAAUAAGCUUCUGUGACUACCUGAGACUACAAAUGUAGCCUCCAUCCUCGUUGUAAAAUAAAAGGCAAAUAAAGUAAUAAUUUUCCUUA